UGCAGUCGAGCGGACAGAUGGGAGCUUGCUCCCUGAUGUUAGCGGCGGACGGGUGAGUAACACGUGGGUAACCUGCCUGUAAGACUGGGAUAACUCCGGGAAACCGGGGCUAAUACCGGAUGCUUGUUUGAACCGCAUGGUUCAGACAUAAAAGGUGGCUUCGGCUACCACUUACAGAUGGACCCGCGGCGCAUUAGCUAGUUGGUGAGGUAACGGCUCACCAAGGCGACGAUGCGUAGCCGACCUGAGAGGGUGAUCGGCCACACUGGGACUGAGACACGGCCCAGACUCCUACGGGAGGCAGCAGUAGGGAAUCUUCCGCAAUGGACGAAAGUCUGACGGAGCAACGCCGCGUGAGUGAUGAAGGUUUUCGGAUCGUAAAGCUCUGUUGUUAGGGAAGAACAAGUGCCGUUCAAAUAGGGCGGCACCUUGACGGUACCUAACCAGAAAGCCACGGCUAACUACGUGCCAGCAGCCGCGGUAAUACGUAGGUGGCAAGCGUUGUCCGGAAUUAUUGGGCGUAAAGGGCUCGCAGGCGGUUUCUUAAGUCUGAUGUGAAAGCCCCCGGCUCAACCGGGGAGGGUCAUUGGAAACUGGGGAACUUGAGUGCAGAAGAGGAGAGUGGAAUUCCACGUGUAGCGGUGAAAUGCGUAGAGAUGUGGAGGAACACCAGUGGCGAAGGCGACUCUCUGGUCUGUAACUGACGCUGAGGAGCGAAAGCGU
rnacentral:rRNA from 2 species